AACGCAUAUUGCACUCUUUGGUAUUCCGAAGAGUAUGCUUGUUUGAGUAUCAGUAAACACCUCACAACCAAUUUUCUUUUUAAGAAUCUUGGAAGUGGACUUGAGUGAUCCGUACUCUCUCUCUAGAGAGGGGCCGGUUACUUGAAAUGCAGGUGCAGCUGGACUUACAACUGAGCUAUAAGCAUAUCUAUUUAGUCUCGUAAAACAGAUUAUUCAUUUUGCUAAAGCUACUCUAAGGUUGUAUUUCCAUAUGGCUGACUGAUGCAGGAUUCACAGAGUGGACGUCAAAAACCCAUUUUGUAAACUCGAUCUCAAAUCAAGCAAGACUACCCGCUGAACUUAA
rnacentral:misc_RNA from 1 species